rnacentral:rRNA from 1 species
AGGACGAACGCUGGCGGCGUGCUUAACACAUGCAAGUCGAGCGGUAAGGCCUCUUCGGGGGUACACGAGCGGCGAACGGGUGAGUAACACGUGGGUGACCUGCCCUCAGCUCUGGGAUAAGCCUGGGAAACUGGGUCUAAUACUGGAUAUGACUGCGCAUCGCAUGGUGUGUGGUGGAAAGUUUUUUCGGUCUGGGGAUGGGCCCGCGGCCUAUCAGCUUGUUGGUGGGGUGAUGGCCUACCAAGGCGACGACGGGUA